AUUGGAGCGGUACCUUGACCCAGCAUAUGGAGAGUCUUUUGAAUUAUCUGAUAAUGUGAAGCUGGACCUAGUGCUGACCCGGGAAGAGCAGCUCCAAACCAGCAUCAGCAGCUCAAUACGCUACACUCACUCAAGCAUGUUCUUGACUCGCAGCACAUUAGUGAUACACCCAACCUGAGUGACGAACUUAUCCAGAUAGCUAACAAACACAGCCAGGAUGAAGAAGCUGCCACUGCACAAAGCAUGCAGAUUAAGAAUAUGCUGGACCAGUAUAAUGCUAUUGUAUCCUUUAAUAUGAAGAAAGCCUUGCUUGAUGUUUGUUUGUAGCAGUCAUUUCACAUCUGUGACUUCAAGCUACCAUCAUUUAUUUUCAUGUAAGCAACUGAGUAUACGAUGUCUCACGGGUCUACAGUUUAUUUAGAUUUUAUUUAUUUGAUUUUCAUUAUUAUUAUUAUUAUCAUUAUCAUUAUUAUUAUUGUUAUUAUUAUUGUUAUUAUUAUUUUUAUACAAGAUAUAGAUAAGCUUUUGAGUUGAUAGAUUUUCUAUUUUUCCAUUCCCUUUUCAUAGGGAAGGAGAAAAAAAAAAGUUGAUGAUUUUUUUUUUCUCUCUCUUUUAUCACCACCAAUUGGCUAGUAUUAUCAUUUAAGACUAAUGUAGAAAAAGAAUACUAUAACUGUCUUCUGCAAAGUACUCCUAAGUUUCAACCCAUUUUAGCUCCAGUUUAAGAUAAAUCUUUGACACCAAAAGAAAGUGGUCUUUUUAUGUGUUUUAUUUUACUGUGACGACAAUUACAAUUACAGUUUGUAAUAUGUAUUUGAAGAAAGGAAAAGCCUGUUUUCUAUACUGUUAGUAUAUAAUAUAUAGUUUGUAAUUUGAACAUUUGUGUGCAAGUAAGCCAAAAGUCUUUUUGUAUGUGUGUGUACAAGCAAAUUUGUGGGAAACACCCAUGUAAGAGAUAGAUUUUGACGAUUGUCAUCUAAUAGUGUUCAACAGGUAUGGAUAUUUUUGUAUAAUUAUUUAUAAUGGAUAAAGAUAUUUCAACACUUUUGAAAUA